rnacentral:rRNA from 1 species
GUAUGGUUAAGUGACUAAGCGUACAGGGCGGAUGCCUUGGCAAUCAGAGGCGAUGAAGGACGUGCUAAUCUGCGAAAAGCUUGGAUGAGUCGAU